UACAGAGGUGGCAAGCGUUGUUCGGAAUUACUGGGCGUAAAGGGCGCGUAGGCGGCCUACUAAGUCAGACGUGAAAUCCCCCGGCUUAACCUGGGAACUGCGUCUGAUACUGGAAGGCUUGAGGAUGGGAGAGGGAUGUAGAAUUCCAGGUGUAGCGGUGAAAUACGUAGAUAUCUGGAGGAACACCGGUGGCGAAGGCGGCUAUCUGGCCAUGUACUGACGCUGAGACACGAAAGCGUGGGAGCA
rnacentral:rRNA from 1 species